CUGCUCAACCAGUUUCACCUGCACGAGCGCGCGCACUACGUUGGGAGCGAGCUGAGUGGGGG
rnacentral:tRNA from 1 species